rnacentral:rRNA from 1 species
UACGAAGGGUGCAAGCGUUAUUCGGAAUUACUGGGCGUAAAGCGUGCGUAGGUGGUCGUUUAAGUCCGUUGUGAAAGCCCUGGGCUCAACCUGGGAAUUGCAGUGGAUACUGGGCGACUAGAGUGCGGUAGAGGGUAGUGGAAUUUCCGGUGUAGCAGUGAAAUGCGUAGAGAUCGGAAGGAACAUCUGUGGCGAAGGCGACUACCUGGGCCAGCACUGACACUGAGGCACGAAAGCGUGGGGAGCAAACAGG